rnacentral:sRNA from 1 species
UGGGGCAGGUGACGGGCACUGGGUGUUCCCUGGAGGGGCAGCAGGGGGCUGUGGGGUGGGGCAGAAGCUGGGACUGGCCUCCAGCUUUGUAUCCGCACAGGGCUUUCACCGCUACUCCACAGACCGCCAGUGGCACGUCCCUCACUUUGAGAAGAUGCUCUAUGACCAGGCACAGCUCGCUGUGGCCUAUUCGCAGGCCUUCCAGCUCUCUGGUGAUGAAUUCUACUCUGACGUGGCCAAAGGCAUCCUGCAGUAUGUGGCUCGGAGCCUGAGCCACCGGUCCGGAGGCUUCUAUAGCGCAGAGGAUGCAGACUCGCCCCCAGAGCGGGGCCUGCGGCCCAAAGAGGGCGCCUACUAUGUGUGGACGGUCAAAGAGGUUCAGCAGCUCCUCCCGGAGCCUGUGUUGGGUGCCACUGAGCCGCUGACCUCAGGCCAGCUCCUCAUGAAGCACUACGGCCUCACAGAGGCUGGUAACAUCAGCCCCAGUCAGGUGAGGACUUCUGGGGUCACCUGACGGGCCCUGGUGCCUGCCAGGCAUGUGAGCUCGCAGACAAAGGCCAUUCUCCUCAGGACCCCAAGGGGGAGCUGCAGGGCCAGAAUGUGCUGACCGUCCGGUACUCGCUGGAGCUGACUGCUGCCCGCUUUGGCUUGGAUGUGGAGGCCGUGCGGACCUUGCUCAAUACAGGGCUGGAGAAGCUCUUCCAGGCCCGGAAGCAUCGGCCCAAGCCGCACCUGGACAGCAAGAUGCUGGCUGCCUGGAAUGGUGGGGCAGCACACCUGAGACCGAGCCUGUCUGGAGGAUCCCCCUUCACAAAGCCCCUGUCUUUCCGGCACCUGCUAAAUGCUCACUCUCCCUUGAUUAGCGUUAUUAUUCUCAGUUGACAAAAGAGGCUUAAGGAGCUUGAGUAACCCGCCCAAGGUCACGCGCAAGGGCUGGGAACCCCGCCAUGUCUGGCU